GACGAACGCUGGCGGCGUGCUUAACACAUGCAAGUCGAACGAUGAAGCCUAGCUUGCUAGGUGGAUUAGUGGCGAACGGGUGAGUAAUACGUGAGUGACCUACCUUUGACUCUGGGAUAAGCCUGGGAAACUGGGUCUAAUACCGGAUACGACCAAUCUCCGCAUGGGGUGUUGGUGGAAAGCGUUAUGGAGUGGUUUUAGAUGGGCUCACGGCCUAUCAGCUUGUUGGUGAGGUAAUGGCUUACCAAGGCGACGACGGGUAGCCGGCCUGAGAGGGUGACCGGCCACACUGGGACUGAGACACGGCCCAGACUCCUACGGGAGGCAGCAGUGGGGAAUAUUGCACAAUGGGCGCAAGCCUGGUGCAGCGACGCCGCGUGAGGGAUGACGGCCUUCGGGUUGUAAACCUCUGUUAGCAUCGAAGAAGCGAAAGUGACG
rnacentral:rRNA from 1 species